UGGAGGUGGUAGAGAGUAGCAGGAGGCACGUGUGAACAGUGGUCCUUUAGGAUGGACGCCAGGUAUGAAUCCAGACGCACUCUGAAGUGCAAUCGCCAAACAGAUGUGAUCUGAAAUCGAGGAGAGACUUGACAUUUCAGAAACUGGAGGAUGAAAGUGGGCAGGUCUGACUGAAGUCUGAUGUGCUUUGAGAUGGCGCAGUUGCCAAACAGAUCUGAAAUUGGACUGGCUUGACAUUUCAGAGAAGCUGAAGGGUGAAAGCGUAGAGGUCCGAGUGUGAAUCUGGAUGCCUUUUGUGAUGGACCAGAGGGGUGGUGGACAUCAGAGCAUAAAUGGCACAGAACGCAGUGG